CAAAAGCCCUUCUUAUUUGCAUUUGCUGCAUCAAGACAUUCAAUCUCUUCCUCUUUGAGAGCAGGGAUUUGAACUAAUCAUCCAGCAAGUAUUGAGUGAUUACAUUUUCAUCAGAUGAAAUGUAAGAGGGUUGAAAGAUCAAGUGAAUUAAUGGAUGACCUAAUCAUGGUGGAUUGGCUGUAUUGAUUCAGAUGGUCAUAUCCUCAUUGUCUGUCAGGCCACAGGAGCUAGAGGAAGACACAAUCCCUCACUGGCUGAAACCGCCAUAUUCGAGAAACCCUCAUUCAGAUAACACUAAUUUAGCCCGUACUCCUGCUCCCAUACGAUUUAAACAGAUUAGGGUAGGAAUGGCAAUCUACCUUAGUUGCAUCUUAGAAUAUGUCUUACAGUGGGUUAGACUUCAAAUAAUUUACUGUAACUUGGGUAUUUAAUGUUUUGUCAUAUUACCUUAUGAGGAGAGAUUCCAGAGCAUGGUGCUGCUGCAUAAUACACCCUCCAUAUAUGAACUUUUAUUGAUACGAGGUGUGUUGAAAAUGUUAACAUGCUUGCAGAUGCAAUUUUGCACACAAACAAAAUUAUGAUUUGGUGGUGGGUGACACUGGCUGCCAUCACUGCAAAGACAGUAAUUUUUCAAGGACAGUCCUCUGCAUGCAUGUGAAUAAUCAAAGUUGCAGAACUUGUGGUAUAAUAUUCAUACAACAUCACAGAUAGUACUUCUGCAAUCUAUAUUCAUUCCUCCUUAAUAAGAAUAAAAAUACUUAAGAUUUAGAAUAGGUGUAGACAACAGGCAAGUACAGAGGUCAUUCUCAGCAAGUGCCCUCCAGACACGUAACAGCAGGUUUUGAAACAGGAACGUCUCACUGCAGACAGUCAUGUUCAUUCACCUCAGUUUGUGUUGACUGAGACAGCAUCUCAAAUUAGAGAGAAAAAUAGUCCUGCACCAGGGCAGGUACUCAAAAAAAAACUCAGGUGAAAAAGUAAUAUAUUUGAAUGCACUAAAAAUGUACUUUAAUAUCGUCAAGUACAUUUCUAGCAUGUUACAGAUUCUUGUACAAAAUUUAAGAGCAACAAAAACACAUUAUAAAUCCACUAAAAACAAGUUAAUUUCUAAAUCAAUUGUACUUCAGUGUACUUAAAAUAAGCACACUAGGUACUAAUCAUUAAAUGCACAUUCAGUGUAUUCAUAUGAAGUAUAUUAGCCCGAUUAGUGCAUUAAUUAGUAGUGUGCUUUGAAUGCCUUACAUUCAAGUUCUAUCUAAGUGGAUUUUUAUACAGUACCAACAAGUCCAUUUAUAGUAUACUUAUAAAAAAAACUUUUGCCACACUUUCCAAAUGUUUUCAAGAUAUUGUUAGCAUAGCAGUGUUUAAGUACACUUAAAAAAAGUUCAUUAAUAAUUACAGUGACUUUAAUCAUGGCAGUUGAGAUAUCUCAACAGUGGGUUGGAUUACAAUGAGCUAUUUGUUAUCGUGAUCUGAUUAUAUUUGUAUUGGUUAUGUUGUAUAUUAUUAUAUUUAUAUUAUAUUAUCAUAAUACAUAUUUAUUAUAUAUUUCAUUUGCUAUCCAUCUGUACUUGGUUGCCUUUCAAGGCUGGCUGGACUCAUCCAGUAGGUAUUCUUUUUAUUGUCUUUUAUGUCCCAUGCCUGCUGCUGCAGACAAAUAGCAUUGCUUGAUUUAAACCCAUCAGGUUUGAAAUGAACCGUGAGCCAAUUGCAAUAGAAUAUGUGCGCACAUGUGCAUAGACGUGCAUAACAUUUUUGUUGAAGUUUGGCCUUUUAAAGCGAAUUUGCAAGUAAUGGGCCUAAUUGGUCAGCGUGGAUUUGAAGACGGAACCAUUAAAGUUUGGUUGUCAACAGUACUGAUUGUGACUCAUCAGUACAGACAGCAGCUUGUCCAGGUAUUUACACGACCGGACCUCUUAAGUGAAGACGGAUGGAUCGAAAGCUUGGCUACCAGGAAAGCGCAAUAAAAGGUGACCGUAAAACUUCUCUUACCCUGAGGUUUGCAUUUUCAUAAACUAUGGUGUGAGAAGUGUCUUUUGAAUGACUGUUCUUUCUACAAUGACCAAACAUGAGAACAGGCAACGGAGUUCAUCAUAAACAGUGUUAGCAUUUAUGCAACAGGUGGAAAAAUUAAGUCAUAAAGGGUAAAGCUAGCUAUUGUGAGUAUAAGGCUAUGACCAAGCAUAAUGACAGUAAAGUAAAAUUAAAUGAUGGACUGAGGAUGUCAGUCUUGCUAAUUUAAUAAUUAAAAACCCUUAACCAUGCUAACUUAAUUUCCUUUUACAUUUUGUGAGAAUUUCUUCAAACAAAACCUAAAGUGAAACAAUAAGCAGCAAUAAGCAGUGCUUUUCUGAUGAUAUUAUUUAUUUUGGUGGAUAAUAAUAUACCACGUUUUUUCAUUCUUUUUGAAUGCUGGGUAAUGUGAUUUAUUUUUCAACCUCAAUAUAGCAAAAUCCUGGAUUAAAACAUCCAAAUGUGAAUAAUGUUUUAUCUUUAAGUGAAACUGUUGUUUUGUUUAUUGUGUGUACCUUUCUUACCAAACUGACAGUACACAGAAGUAGACUUAAUUUAAGUGUACAUACUGUGUACUUUUUAGUGUGCUAUUUAUUAGUUACUAAGUAUACUAAAUAUAUGUAAUUAGUACUACUUAAGAUAUACUGAAAUAAGUGUACGCUGUAGUACUAUAUUGAGUCUUCAAGAUUCACUUAAAUGCAUUUUAAAGUAUAUGUUCUUUCAGCUUAAGAGAUAUUUUAAUUAAAUUUAAUGUGCACUUCAAAUUCAAAUAAAUUAUAUUUAUAUUGUAUUAUGCACACAUUUUGAUUGGAUUAAAAUUAUAUUUCAUGCAUAUUAUAAGAAUGUUGAAGUUUAAAUAAAGUACAUUUUGAAAAAGUAUAGAAUUAUUUAAAAAAAACUAGUGUACUUAAAUAUACUUUAGUACGUCUUCAUGGUGCCUCAAAAUAGUACAGUCAAAUACACUAAGUUGUAUUUCAGUACAUCUUUAGUAGUAGUACAUCUUUAGCACACUAAGUACAUUGUUAGUACAUCGAGAUUAGCACACUUUUCCUACAUUAGUCAUGUACACGAGAAGUAUGUUUAGUGUACUUAAAUUAAGUAUACUUCAGUGUACUUUUUUUCAUGUGGGAAGUUAUGUAAAUUCACUGGUACGGGCACAGGUAUAAUUAAGUUAAUGUGGGCGGGCAGCGGGUGAUAACAAAAGUGUGUUUUUUCCUAAAGAAAUCAGAAAUUUUAAUAAUUUUGGAGCAUUUCUUAAAUUUAAUCAGCUUCCUAUAAACCACAAGGAUUUGUUUUUGGUCUUUGGCCCCUUCACAUCUGCUUAGACAACACUGUCAACAAUUUUGGGCAGGCAGUGCUGGUUAGUACAUUUUCAUGGAAGGCAUAAAGAAAAGAAAUGCCAGUGGUGAAUACCAAACUCUUAACAAUACAUAUUUAAUGCUAUUCAAUGUUACCAUGGUUGAUUAUGAUUCGAAUUCAUGUCUCUACAUGUGUAAACUGCAGUUAAAAAUUAAGCCAUUUGAUGUGAGAGAUUGUGUAUGUAGACUGUGUCUUUAAUCACAGGUGACGGGUAGGGUCACCAGACGUUAUGUUAACGGGUCUGGUCAAGACUCGGAAAUAAUUGUGGCUAACGGGUCGGUUCCGGUACAGUAGAAACCUGUUGAACAUAGUGAAGCAUUAAUCAGCAAAACACUCCGAUUUUUUUCUGGGGAUGGGGGGUAAUCAAAACAGAAUUAAUAGGAGAGGGAAUAUUUGUACGAGCUGUCCAGAAACUUGACUGUGUGUCACAGCCCUGGCUGUGAUAUUAGGCUCUCCCUGUGUUUCUGUCUCCCCCUGACUCCUCCCCCUUUCCCUGGCUUUGUGUAUGUGCAUGUUUUGUCGCCAGGUGGCGACGUAAUCACGGCACCUGAGGAGCAGCACGGCUGGGUGCAAUCAUUAAUCAUCCCUACAGUUUAAGACACCGACACACCAGUCAUUCGUCGCCGAAUUAUUCAGCUAAUCAAUGGAAUUGCUGCUCCAGAGGGUUCGUCUCCACGCCACUCCGUGACUGCCUGUCUGCUCAAGUUAACAUUAUUCAUAUUAAAUACUGCUACCAACUUUC